rnacentral:rRNA from 1 species
UCAAGCUAAUAAGAGCGCAGGGUGGAUGCCUUGGCACUAAGAGCCGAUGAAAGACGUGAUAAGCUGCGAAAAGCUUCGGGGAGGAGCAAAUAUCCAUUGAUCCGGAGAUAUCUGAAUGGGGAAACCCGGCUGAGAAGCCCUCAGCCACUGUAUGGUGAAUCCAUAGCCAUACAGAGGGAACCCGGUGAACUGAAACAUCUAAGUAGCCGGAGGAAGAGAAAGAAACAUCGAUUCCGGAAGUAGCGGCGAGCGAACCCGGAAGAGCCCAAACCAGCGUGCGUGCAUGCUGGGGUUAAGGACUGCAUAAGUGAGCUGAUUCGUUAGUGGAACUGCCUGGGAAGGCGGGCCGGAGAGGGUGAAAGCCCCGUACAUGAAAGCGAUAGGCAGCGGCAGGAUCCAGAGUACCGCGAGACACGAGAAACCUUGCGGGAAGUCGGAGGGACCACCCUCCAAGGCUAAAUACUCCUUAGUGACCGAUAGCGCAUAGUACUGUGAAGGAAAGGUGAAAAGGACCCCGGGAGGGGAGUGAAAGAGAACCUGAAACCCUGUGUUUACAAACUGUGGGAGCACGUUAAGGUGCGACCGCGUACUUUUUGUAGAACGGUCCGGCGAGUUGCCGGUGCUGGCGAGGUUAAAUGGUAGAGCCAUGGAGCCGAAGGGAGACCAAGUCUCAAAUGGGCGUAAAGUCAGCACAGGCAGACCCGAAACCGGGUGACCUAUCCAUGUCCAGGAUGAAGCGGAAGUAAAAUUCCGUGGAGGUCCGGAUCCACAUCCGUUGAAAAGGGUGGGAAUGAGGUGUGGAUAGGGGAGAAAUUCCAAUCGAACCCGGAGAUAGCUGGUUCUCCUCGAAAUAGCUUUAGGGCUAGCCCCGUAUUAGUUUAGCGGAGGUAGAGCACUGAAUUCCUAAGGGGGCGUCAAAGCUUACCAAGGGAUAUCAAACUCCGAAUGCCGCAUAAAUGAUGUACGGGAGUCAGACUGCACGAGAUAAGUUGGGCAGUCAAAAGGGAAAGAGCCCAGACCUACAGCUAAGGUCCCAAAGUGUGUGUUAAGUGGAAAAGGAUGUGGGAUUUCAGAGACAACUAGGAUGUUGGCUUAGAAGCAGCCACACAUUCAAAGAGUGCGUAAUAGCUCACUAGUCGAGAGGUCCUGCGCCGAAAAUGUCCGGGGCUGAAACACAACACCGAAGCUUAGGAAUGUAGUGAUACAUUGGUAGAGGAGCAUUCUUAAAGGGAAGAAGCAGUACCGGUAAGGAGCUGUGGACUUUUAAGAAGAGAGAAUGCCGGAAUGAGUAGCGAGAUGGAGGUGGGAAUCCUCCAGGCCGAAUAUCCAAGGUUUCCAGAGUAAAGCUGAUCUGCUCUGGGUAAGUCGGGGCCUAAGGUAAGGCUGAGAAGCGUAGCCGAUGGACAACAGGUUGAGAUUCCUGUACCGCGUAUCAUCAGAACUGUGGGGACACAGAAGGACAGCACAGCCCGGGAAUGGAAAGACCGGGGCAAGCAGGGUAGGAGUCAAGCUGGCAAAUCCGCUUGACGAUCCGAAGCUGUGAUGCGGAGCGAAUUUAAGUAGCGAAGUGUGUGAUUCCGGCUGUCAAGAAAAGCCGCUAUUGUGUGAUACGUGCCCGUACCGUAAACCGACACAGGUAGAUGAGGAGAGAAUCCUAAGGCCGGCGGGAGAAGCAUUGUUAAGGAACUCGGCAAAAUGACCCUGUAACUUCGGGAGAAAGGGUGCCUGGGAAACCAGGCCGCAGAGAAUAGGCUCAAGCAACUGUUUAGCAAAAACACAGGUCUAUGCAAAACCGUAAGGUGAGGUAUAUGGGCUGACGCCUGCCCGGUGCUGGAAGGUUAAGAGGAGGGGUUAGCGCAAGCGAAGCUCUGAAUUGAAGCCCCAGUAAACGGCGGCCGUAACUAUAACGGUCCUAAGGUAGCGAAAUUCCUUGUCGGGUAAGUUCCGACCCGCACGAAAGGCGUAAUGAUUUGAGCGCUGUCUCGACAAUGCACCCGGUGAAAUUGAAAUACCAGUGAAGAUGCUGGUUACCCGCGCCAGGACGGAAAGACCCCAUGGAGCUUUACUCCAGCUUGAUACUGGGAUUCGGUACUGCAUGUACAGGAUAGGUGGGAGACUGAGAAACUUGGACGCCAGUCUGAGAUGAGUCGCUGUUGGGAUACCACCCCUGCGGUAUUGGAUUUCUAACCUGCAGCCGUGAACCGGCUGGGGGACAAUGUCAGGCGGGGAGUUUGACUGGGGCGGUCGCCUCCGAAAGGGUAUCGGAGGCGCUCAAAGGUUCCCUCAUAAUGGUUGGAAACCAUUAGAAGAGUGCAAAGGCAUAAGGGAGCUUGACUGCGACACCGACGGGUGGAGCAGGUACGAAAGUAGGACUUAGUGAUCCGGUGGUAUGAAAGUGGGAUUGCCAUCGCUCAACGGAUAAAAGCUACCCUGGGGAUAACAGGCUUAUCACUCCCAAGAGUUCACAUCGACGGAGUGGUUUGGCACCUCGAUGUCGGCUCAUCGCAUCCUGGGGCUGU